rnacentral:tmRNA from 1 species
GGGGGCGACGGGUUUCGACAGGGGCGAGAGAGACAGAGAAUGCGAGCCGAGGCGCCGCUGGCCUCGUAAAAAGCGGCAAACAAACAAACGCCGAGAAUCAACUCGCACUCGCUGCCUAAGGGCAGCCAUCCGGCCGAUCCCCAUCCGGCGGGAUCGGUACUGGGUGUUACCAAAGCCGGAUUACCUGGCGUGUCAGGGUACGCGGGCUGCCAGGGACAUUUAGCGACCUAGCGCCGGAGGAUCCCGUCUGCGGGAGCCGAUGGGGCGAAACGAAAAACGCAGACUACGCUCGUAGGGGUCUCUGCCGAUCUCCCUUUGGACGGCGGUUCAACUCCGCCCGCCUCCACCA